rnacentral:rRNA from 1 species
UACGGAGGGUGCAAGCGUUGUCCGGAAUCACUGGGCGUAAAGGGCGCGUAGGCGGCUAUGUAAGUCACUUGUGAAAUCCCGGGGCUCAACUCCGGGGCCGCAGGUGAGACUGUGGGGCUAGAGCAUGGUAGAGGCGAGUGGAAUUCCCGGUGUAGCGGUGGAAUGCGUAGAUAUCGGGAAGAACACCGGUGGCGAAGGCGGCGUCCUGGACCAACACUGACACUGAUGAGCGAAAGCCAGGGGAGCAAACGGG